rnacentral:rRNA from 1 species
GACGUAGGGCGCGGCGUGUCCGGAUUUAUUGGGCGUAAAGAGCUCGUAGGCGGCUCGUUGCGUCGGCUGUGAAAACCCGCAGCUCAACUGUGGGCUUGCAGCCGAUACGGGCGGGCUAGGAUUCGGUAGGGGAGACUGGAAUUCCUGGUGUAGCGGUGAAAUGCGCAGAUAUCAGGAGGAACACCUGCGGUGUAGACGGCUUACUGGACCAUAACUGACGCUGAGGCACGAAAGCGUGGGUAGCAAACAGG